rnacentral:rRNA from 1 species
AUUGAACGCUGGCGGAAUGCUUUACACAUGCAAGUCGAACGGCAGCACGGACUUCGGUCUGUUGGCGAGUGGCGAACGGGUGAGUAAUGUAGCGGAACGUGCCCAGUCGGGGGGGAUAACGUAGUGAAAAUUACGCUAAUACCGCAUACGAUCUAUGGAGGAAAGCGGGGGAUCGCAAGACCUCGGGCGAUUGGCGCUGCCGAUAUCCAAUUAGGUAGUUGGUGGGGUAAAGGCCCACCAAGCCAACGAUCUGUAGCUGGGCUGAGAGGACGACCAGCCACACUGGAACUGAGACACGGUCCAGACUCCUACGGGAGGCAGCAGUGGGGAAUUUUGGACAAUGGGCGAAAGCCUGAUCCAGCCAUUCCGCGUGCAGGAUGAAGGCCCUCGGGUUGUAAACUGCUUUUGUACAGAACGAAAAGGUUUCUACUAAUACUAGGAGCUCAUGACGGUACUGUAAGAAUAAGCACCGGCUAACUACGUGCCAGCCGCCGCGGUAA